rnacentral:lncRNA from 1 species
UUUUCUCCCCUUCUAGCCCAGAGAACCUCCCUCCAGGUGGGUGAGCUUUGGUUUAAGUCGACUUCAAAAACAACGGAAAACUUCCUCCUUUCGUCCCCUCCACGGCAGUCGCCUGGGCAACUUUACGG